AGUCCACUAUAUAUAUAAUAGUUAAGCCCAUACGGACAGGCGGGACUGCUGCCGG
rnacentral:sRNA from 12 species